CCUGGUUCCUCUUCACUUCGUUUCUGAUCCGCCGGGGCAGCGGGGGAUCCGGGUUCCUGCUUCUUGAUCUCUUUGUUCCAUGUGAUCCAGAGAGGAGCUGGGGGGGUUUUGUUAUCAUGGUCGAGGCCGCAGCUUCGUAUAUCCGCAUGGUAAGAGCGAGAUUCUCCGUCUGGGUAGAAAGAGAGAGAGAAAGCGUUAGAGAGAGAGGGAAGGUGGGACAGAGGGAAAGAGGCCACUUCUAUUCUCCCUAACUGGUGCGUUUUGAGGUUUCAGGUGCAACACUUGAUCGAGGAGUGCCUCGUUUUCCGCAUGACCCGAGAGGAGUGCGCCGAUGCCCUCUCUAAGCACGCCAACAUCAAACCCAUCAUCACUUCCACUGGUUCGCUCUCUCUCUCUCUCUCUCCC
rnacentral:lncRNA from 1 species